UAGGAACUUGUGGUCCUUUGACCUCAAGCAGCAGCCCCAUCAGCUGGAGUGGCCAUACCCCCCACCAAGCAGUGCCAUGUGAAGCAUCAUGUAGAUAAUGCUUUAAUCCUCCUCCGCCCUCUUUUACUUCAGAUGCACUGUUUAUGUACUGUUUGUUUCUGAAAUUAAAAGUGUACUUUCAGUGCUGCUCAGUCACUAUAAGUAGCACCAUAAAAAAGAGACCCAUCUCUGAAACUGCUUAUAUCUGACUGUUGUUCCUUCUGUUACUUUGUUCUUCCCUGAAUAUGUUCAAUUACAAAUGGCAUUUCUCAAAGAUUCAAUAUUCCGUUUAAACUUGUAAUUGAUAUUCAUGUCAACACUUGUUUGUAUUUUGGUUAUAUAUGGACAUGGUGAUGGCUAAACACACUGAACAUUAUUAAACUUAUUCACACUCACUAAAACUGGUUUUGAUGGACUGGCUGACAUUGCUUGACUAGUCGUUUGCAUUUUUCACAUUUGUGGAAAUUAAACACAAAAUUGUAAUAAAUUCAGAUGUACAUAAGCACAAUGUGCUCUCCACAUACUUUGGGGGGGGGGGGAGCUGUAAACUGACUUUGGUGACCCCACCCCCUUUUAAAUAAAAUGUUAAUUUAUGCCUU